rnacentral:rRNA from 1 species
GACGAACGCUGGCGGCGUGCCUAACCCAUGCAAGUUGAACGGGAAGGUGGAAUCACUUCGGUGAGGAAACCGGAUAGUAGCGGACGGGUGAGUAACGCGUGAAGAACCUACCCACGACAGGGGGAUAACACAUGGAAACGUGUGCUAAUACCGCAUAAGACCACGGUAUCGCAUGGUACGGGGGUCAAAGGAGAGAUCCGGUCGAGGAGGGCUUCGCGUCCUAUUAGUUAGUUGGUGGGGUAAAGGCCCACCAAGACGAUGAUAGGUAUCCGGGCUGAGAGGCUGAACGGACACACUGGGACUGAGAACGGCCCAGACUCCUACGGGAGGCAGCAGGGAGGAAUAUUGGACAAUGGGGGAAACCCUGAUCCAGCAACGCCGCGUGAGGGAAGAAGGCCUUCGGGUUGUAAACCUCUGUUGUGAGGGAAGAAGAAAGUGACGGUACCUCACGAGGAAGCUCCGGCAAACUACGUGCCAGCAGCCGCGGUAAUACGUAGGGAGCGAGCGUUGUCCGGAAUCACUGGGCGUAAAGGGCGCGUAGGCGGUCUUUUAAGUUGCAUGUAAAAUACCAGGGCUCAACCUUGGGGGGCCAUGCAAAACUGGAAGACUUGAGAGCAGUAGAGGGAAGUGGAAUUCCUGGUGUAGCGGUAAAAUGCGUAGAGAUCAGGAGGAACACCGGUGGCGAAGGCGGCUUUCUGGGCUGCAACUGACGCUGAGGCGCGAAAGCGUGGGGAGCGAACAGGAUUAGAUACCCUGGUAGUCCACGCUGUAAACGAUGAAUAUUAGGUGUAGGCCCGAUGGGGUCUGUGCCGGAGCAAACGCAAUAAAUAUUCCGCCUGGGGAGUACGGCCGCAAGGUUGAAACUCAAAGGAAUUGACGGGACCCCGCACAAGCAGCGGAGCAUGUUGAUUAAUUCGAUGCAACGCGAAGAACCUUACCAAGGCUUGACAUCCUAUGAACCCUUAGGAAACUAGGGGGUGCCCUUCGGGGAACAUAGAGACAGGUGGUGCAUGGUUGUCGUCAGCUCGUGUCGUGAGAUGUUGGGUUAAGUCCCGCAACGAGCGCAACCCUUACGGUCAGUUACCAGCGAGUGAAGUCGGGGACUCUGACAGGACAGCCGGGGUAACCCGGAGGAAGGUGGGGACGACGUCAAAUCAUCAUGCUCCUUACGACCUGGGCCACACACGUAAUACAAUGGCCGUUAACAGCGUGACGCAAAAUCGCGAGAUGGAGCAAAACACCAAAAACGGUCCCAGUUCGGAUCGCAGGCUGCAACCCGCCUGCGUGAAGUUGGAAUUGCUAGUAAUCGCGGAUCAGCAUGCCGCGGUGAAUACGUUCCCGGGCCUUGUACACACCGCCCGUCACACCAUGGGAGUUGGUAACACCCGAAGUCUGUAGUCUAACCCGCAAGGGAGGGCGCAGCCGAAGGUGGGAUUAGCGACUGGGGUG